rnacentral:rRNA from 1 species
GACGUAGGGCGCGAGCGUUGUCCGGAUUUAUUGGGCGUAAAGAGCUCGUAGGCGGCUUGUCGCGUCGUCCGUGAAAACCUGGGGCUCAACCCCGAGCCUGCGGUCGAUACGGGCAGACUAGAGUGCUGUAGGGGAGACUGGAAUUCCUGGUGUAGCGGUGAAAUGCGCAGAUAUCAGGAGGAACACCGGUGGCGAAGGCGGGUCUCUGGGCAGUAACUGACGCUGAGGAGCGAAAGCGUGGGGAGCGAACAGG